rnacentral:misc_RNA from 1 species
GAAAUGCGAUAAGUAAUGUGAAUUGCAGAAUUCAGUGAAUCAUCGAAUCUUUGAACGCAUAUUGCGCCCGCCAGUAUUCUGGCGGGCAUGCCUGUCCGAGCGUCAUUUCAACCAUCAAGCCCCCGGGCUUGUGUUGGGGACCUGCGGCUGCCCGCAGGCCCUGAAAACCAGUGGCGGGCUCGCUGUCACACCGAGCGUAGUAGCAAUCACCUCGCUCAGGGCGUGCUGCGGGUUCCGGCCGUUAAACAGCCUUACAAAACCCAAGGUUGACCUCGGAUCAGGUAGGAAGACCCGCUGAACUUAAG